GACGAACGCUGGCGGCGUGCCUAAUACAUGCAAGUUGAGCGCUGAAGGUUGGUACUUGUACCAACUGGGUGAGCAGCGAACGGGUGAGUAACGCGUGGGGAAUCUGCCUUUGAGCGGGGGACAACAUUUGGAAACGAAUGCUAAUACCGCAUAAAAACUUUAAACACAAGUUUUAAGUUUGAAAGAUGCAAUUGCAUCACUCAAAGAUGAUCCCGCGUUGUAUUAGCUAGUUGGUGAGGUAAAGGCUCACCAAGGCGAUGAUACAUAGCCGACCUGAGAGGGUGAUCGGCCACAUUGGGACUGAGACACGGCCCAAACUCCUACGGGAGGCAGCAGUAGGGAAUCUUCGGCAAUGGACGAAAGUCUGACCGAGCAACGCCGCGUGAGUGAAGAAGGUUGUCGGAUCGUAAAACUCUGUUGGUAGAGAAGAACGUUGGUGAGAGUGGAAAGCUCAUCAAGUGGCGGUAACUACCCAGAAAGGGACGGCUAACUACGUG
rnacentral:rRNA from 1 species